CAUAAGUAGUAUAAAAAAUAUAUUAGAUUUAGGUUCUAAAGAUAAUAAAAUUAUGUUA
rnacentral:tRNA from 1 species